rnacentral:lncRNA from 1 species
GAACUAUAAUACUGUGAAAGUACUUUUAUUCGUGGGGUACCAAUUUUCGUGGUUUUCGUGGAUGACUUUAUCCACGAAUUUAAGUGUCCAACGAAAUAAAAUAACCAUUGUCUAAAUCAAGACCUGGAAAGAUCCCAAUCGGUAGGUUUGACUACUGAUAUGGCAUGUAUGAUCUAGUCUAAGAGAAGAUAUUGAAUAGCACCAACUCUGAGAAUACUUUAAUAACAGUCACAGAACUACAACCGCGUGCAGGAUUAUACCCAUUUAAUCUUUAAUAACCUAAAAUGUACAACUUUUGUUUUUGAUUAAUGAAAGUCAGAUUUCCGGUAUUGAUAUGCUAGUAUGAUAAAGUGUUCAUUUUAUAUCCUCAUAGUUCUCGUACAUAUAAGAAAUAAAAAAAUUUUGCUGGUCUUGAUUUUGCUAAGAACUAUUUGGCAAUUCAUAGCAUUUGUUUAUGUUACUGUUUUCUUUAGGUGACAUGUUAAUGGCCUAAUUAACACCUUUGAUGGUCUUUAAUCUGUUGAUCACUUUAUCAUGGGUUAAUUAGUGUUAUCACUACGAUUUGAUUUACACGGGUCAAUGUUUACUUUGCAAUUUCCUUCAAUCUAGACUAUUUGUAACCUUCGUUUCUAAAGGCUUCAAUUUUCAAUUUUUUUUUUUUUUAGAAAACUUAAAUCCACGAAUUUAAAAACCCACGAACAUGUAAAUAUUGCUCAAACCACGAAAAUUGAUACCCACGAAUUAAAGUACUUUCACAGUAU